UCUAAUGGAUAUAAAGUACUAAAUGGUGGCCCCAUUGCCGGCAAUGCUAUUUUUAGCAAUUAUCUCCUUAAAAGGCGCUUUUAAUAAACUAAUUAUGGAAAAACUGCUGUUGUCUAAUUGAAGCUCGAUAUCUAUUUGUGAUUUUACCGCACUCAAAUAUAUAUGGUCCCAUGGCUUUUCUUGGUGAAUUUUGGGGUUUUUCACGAUACCUGACGAUUUCGCAGAAAAAUUUCCCUAAUUUUGAGCACCAUAAAAAAAAUAUUUCCGGCCCUUCAUACUAUACAUUUAAGGACAAAUUUGUGCUUGCAUGAAACUUCAUUCAUAAUACUUUCCAGAAGAAAAAUAUAUAAAAGAUGUAACAACCAAUCACAGAGAGCCAUCUAUUUUUAUCUCUAUGUCAUGUUCCCUUCAUAAAAUGGCUGCGCCCAUGUAAUUUUAUUUGGUACAUUGUAACCUAUACGGUAAUAAACAAUUUUUGAAAUUUGAUUUUUUUUGCCGCAUUAGUUACUUGAACAUUGCUUGACUUCAUUCUACUAUGCAAAAUAUCUCAUUGAAAACUGUAUAAUACACAGGAAUUAAUUUCUGGAGCCUACCCCUGUUUAAAAAUUGGUAAAAAAUUACACUGAUUUUUAUAGACAUUACGGUACUGCUUGUUGCAGGUGUAAUAUUUUGUCUCUUUGUUAGUAUUGCCUUUUCGAAGUAAUCAUGUGCUUCUGAUAUUGAUCAACAGAAAAUUUAAUUUGAGUGACGCUGUGCCGAAAACCAAAUUAAAAAUUCGGACCAGUUCAAUAUGAAAUAAAUUCACUAUUUUGAAACGGACUAUAGCUUUAUAAAUCGGAUACAUGUGCACACUUUAGCUUCUUUUCGUAAAACAACAGCUUCUGGUGGUCUAUAUUAGCUA
rnacentral:lncRNA from 1 species